rnacentral:lncRNA from 1 species
ACUUUUAAGUUUUAUCAGCUAGUUCAUGCUUGCGUUGAAAGAGUGGUCGUUUGCGCUGGGUCAUCACUGUGUAGUAUUGGGGAUACUUAGGUGAGAAAAAAACUUAACGCUAGAGACGUUCACGCACUAGUGGAGAAGCCAGGAUUGUUGCCCUAGAGUUACAGUAGAUAAAAGUACCUCAGAGAACUGCGGGGGCUCCCAACCUGGACGCUUGCACCGGAGUAUUAAAUCCAGCUAGAGAAUGGCAUGUGCAAAGAUACAGAGCUUUUAGAAGUUGCCUGCAUUCCUUGGCCCCUUCCUCACAUCAUUCCAACCAACUUCCAUCCUUACAAUCGAUUACUUUCCUGUAAUAGCUACAGUCAAAUGGGCAGCUGAAGAUGAUGAUGAUGAUGAUCUUGACACCGAGAAGCAGAAGACCAAUGAAGAUGACCAGACAGCAAAAAAGGAUAAGUUAAAAGAAGGGUCUCGCUCUGUAU